GGUCCUAGGAUUUGUAUAUAGGAUUUGGCCUGCCCAAUGAUAUUUUAAUGGCCGCGGUAUAUUGACCGUGCAAAGGUAGCAUAAUCAUUAGUCUCUUAAUUGGGGUCUGGUAUGAAUGGUUGGAUGAGGGGGAGUCUGUCUUAGGGUUAAAUUUACUUAAUUUUAUUUUCUGGUGAAAAAGCCUGGAUUUUCUUGGGGGACGAUAAGACCCUAUAGAUCUUUACGCUUUUUCUGCUUUAGUGGGUAAGGAGGGCGUUUUGUUGGGGUGACAGGGAGAUAUAAGUAACUCUCUUGAGUAGAUAUUAUAUGUCAAUAUAAUUUAUGAUCCAUUAGUUAUGAUUAUUAGAUUAAGUUACCUUAGGGAUAACAGCGUAAUUUCUCUUGAGAGUUCUUAUCGACAGGGGAGGUUGCGACCUCAAUGUUGGAUUAAGGUUUUCCUAGAGGCGGAGGAGCUUUAUUAGGAGGGUCUGUUCGACCCUUAAAUCCUUACA
rnacentral:rRNA from 1 species